rnacentral:lncRNA from 10 species
GGAAUAUCACGGGAAAGCAUGAAGCUGUUAUAAAGUUAAUAUCUGCUAUUCUGGACUCAAGAAGGUCAAUCUGUACCCUCCGUACGUGCCUCCUUUCCUAGCCUUCCCAAGAAGUCUUAAGAAAAAUGGACAUCAACCAGGCUGAAACCUUGGCAUCAUACCUGGCACCUGCUGGAUGCUUAAUAAGUACUUGUGGACUGAGUGACUCUCAUGCCUUACCUCUGCAGUGUAGACAAUAGUACCCAUGCUUGCUACAUCACGGAGGACUUGUUAAGCAUUAUUCAAUUAUGAAUCUUUAGCUAGUCUACAUGUCAUAGAUUCUAAUAUUGAUGUUUUCUACCCUUUAAUAUAAGUGAAUUUUAAUCCAUUUUAUAGUACAUCUUGAAAUUAUAUAUAUAAUUUCCUUAGUGGUACCUAAUGUAUCUUCCAAUCAAUAAUUUUCCUGAUUUAUUGAAAAACGGUAUUAAAUAAAUGUAAUUACAAAACCA